GCGCUCGUAGCUCAGUUGGAUAGAGCGCAAGCUUGCGGAGCUUGAGGUCACAGGUUCGAUCCCUGUCGAGCGCA
rnacentral:tRNA from 1 species